rnacentral:sRNA from 1 species
UGAUACCAGGGUCAAAAGGUUAUGCGUUUCAUGCUUGCAUGAAAAAGCAUGACCUUGGGACCCUGGUAUCAUAGUAUUAUGAAAAAAGAAAAAUGUACCCAAUUCCUCUAUAAAUAUCA